rnacentral:rRNA from 1 species
AAUAUUGGACAAUGGGCGAAAGCCUGAUCCAGCCAUGCCGCGUGUGUGAAGAAGGUCUUCGGAUUGUAAAGCACUUUAAGUUGGGAGGAAGGGCAGUAAGCUACUACCUUGCUGUUCUGACGUUACCGACAGAAUAAGCACCGGCUAACGUCGUGCUCGCAGCCGCGGUAAUACGAAGGGUGCAAGCGUUAAUCGGAAUUACUGGGCGUAAAGCGCGCGUAGGUGGUUUGAUAAGUUGGAUGUGAAAGCCCCGGGCUCAACCUGGGAACUGCUUUCAAAACUGGCAAGCUAGAGUAUGGCAGAGGGUGGUGGAAUUUCCUGUGUAGCGGUGAAAUGCGUAGAUAUAGGAAGGAACACCAGUGGCGAAGGCGACCACCUGGACUGAUACUGACACUGAGGUGCGAAAGCGUGGGGAGCAAACAGG